rnacentral:rRNA from 1 species
AACGAACGCUGGCGGCAUGCCUAACACAUGCAAGUCGAACGCGUGUAGCAAUACACGAGUGGCGCACGGGUGAGUAACGCGUGGGAACCUGCCCAGUGGUAGGGAAUAACUGCGGGAAACUGCAGCUAAUACCCUAUACGCCCUACGGGGGAAAGCUUUUCGCCAUUGGAGGGGCCCGCGUCGGAUUAGCUAGUUGGUGAGGUAAGAGCUUACCAAGGCGACGAUCCGUAGCUGGUCUGAGAGGAUGAUCAGCCACACUGGGACUGAGACACGGCCCAGACUCCUACGGGAGGCAGCAGUGGGGAAUAUUGGACAAUGGGGGCAACCCUGAUCCAGCAAUGCCGCGUGAGUGAUGAAGGCCUUAGGGUUGUAAAGCUCUUUCGGCGGGGACGAUGAUGACGGUACCCGCAGAAGAAGCCCCGGCUAACUCCGUGCCAGCCGCCGCAGUAACAC